rnacentral:rRNA from 1 species
UGAACGCUAGCGACAGGCCUAACACAUGCAAGUCAGGGGCAGCACAAGGAGCAAUCUGAGGUGGCGACCGGCGCACGGGUGAGUAACACGUAUGCAACCUGCCUGUAAGCGGGGAAUAACCCGUUGAAAGACGGACUAAUACCGCAUAAUACUAAAUUACUGCAUGGUAAUUUAUUUAAACAUUUAUGGCUUACAGAUGGGCAUGCGCAUGAUUAGCUAGUUGGAGAGGUAACGGCUCCCCAAGGCAACGAUCAUUAGGGGUUCUGAGAGGAAGGUCCCCCCACACUGGUACUGAGACACGGACCAGACUCCUACGGGAGGCAGCAGUGAGGAAUAUUGGUCAAUGGACGAGAGUCUGAACCAGCCAAGUCGCGUGCAGGAAGAAUUGUCCUAUGGAUUGUAAACUGCUUUUGCAGGGGAAUAAAGUGCAUCACGUGUGAUGUUUUGUAUGUACUCUGCGAAUAAGGAUCGGCUAACUCCGUGCCAGCAGCCGC